CUACACUUUAAAAUAAACACUUAUUAGACAAAUUAUUAUUAGACUAAAACAUUGAGAUAUGCUAAAUGUUCAUAGACUCAAAACGGACCUAAGGUAAUUUGACUUUUUUCUGUUAUCUAUUUUGGUCAAAUGUUACCAUACUGUGGAUGUCUUUGACAUAGUAGAGGAGGACUGACUGUAAAUGAAACGCUCAAAAUUAAAUAAAUGUUAAGUAAACCACCAGGCCUAGGCUUUCUAGUAGGUUCUUCAACCUGUCUGUCAGUGGGUUGGGCCACCAAAAGGUGAAAACAAAGGGGGGCGAGGGGGUUCUGAAGUCUUACCUGUAAAACAGGUGCGUCUGUAAACACCCCCAUUAGCAUUUGGUACUUUCCUCUCAUAAACGUACAGUGCCAAAAAAAAAAAUCGACCAAUCAGAGAUUUGGUUGAGCCCGAACGUAUCAACACGUAAAUCGAUUACUGAACCGGGAGAUUACUGCCCUAAAAUGCAAUGUUAUGUGAAUCUCCAGCGGUUAUGGCUUGAAAAUAUAUUUUCGGGUGAACAGGACACAUAAGCAUACGAAGUUUGACUUCCCAGCAAUUUGCCGAACUUCCAUCGUGAACUUGAGAGAUUGUGGCUAGGCCGCGUUGCUGGCGAGCCCACCAUAGCUCCGUCAACUUGGACACUGCAAACGUCAACGGAACGCCACAAAAACCGCGAAAGAGCGGCCUGUCUCGACGUGUCUGAGGACGAAAGAAGUACUACCGCUGCUGGGAACAUUCAACUCUGGGUCACCACUGUAGCCGGACGAGGAAACACUGGAGCUGAAGUGUCAUCAUCAGUCGUCAUUCCACUGCGCUCCUCUUUGAUCUUCAUGGCUCUGGCCUUCAGGAGUCGAUCCCUGACUGGACGCUUGGCCACGUAACGUGUUCCGUCACUGCGGAUCUUUACCUGGAAACAGUAACAGUGGAAACACUGUCAGAAAGCAAGCCUGUCGUACGCACAAAGGAAUCCAUGCCCUGACUUAAGACUCGCCCGUGUGUGUGCGUGCGCAUGGAGCUGCUGUUCAUGUGUGAUUUGCUGAGUUGAGGAAACAUCCAUCACUUGUUCUCUGAUCAUCAGAGCUGCGGCGACAGACGGAUCCCGUGGAAGCACCAAGUAUGUGGCUCCUCUGGGGACCGAAACCCAGGACGACCUGCUUACAGGGCAGACGUGCUAACAGGUAGAACACUGAACCACACGCUACACUUUGGAACCACUGUAUGUAUGAACUUAUUUAUGGAAAUAAUGUAAAAAAAACACUGGCUAAAGUCGAAGCUAAAUGUGUUUUUAGAGGUUGUGGGCCAUACAAACAUAAUGACUUGACUUAAGCAUCACCCUUUUUCCCGUCAGGUAUGUAGUUUUUUAAUCUAGUCCAAAGACAAAGUUCCCCUAAAGAGCAUGUCUGUUUAAGCUUAAAUAAAUCAUCAGACGUUGAUGAAGGAGUCAAUGACAUCUUGUUACCCUGUGAACUUUGAAAAAAGUAAUUAGAUAAAUUCAUAAAAAGAUGAAGACACUAACAAUUAAGUACCACACUGCACCUUUGACCUGUCUGCAUAAAUCAAAAGUGUCGGCUGACGUAGGAGGUGGGUGAUUAGAAGAAAGAAGGAAAUUAAUGGUGCUGAAAAGCUGGUAAAAAAAAAAAAAAAAUUAAAUACCGAGGCAGGCCGAGCAAGAUGAGACACUAAUGAGCUCAGGAUCAGUGCCACAGAUGGCUCCACUCAAUAAAAAAAAUAUCCCACGGUAAAUGUCAUAAAAUCGUUGCCAAGAGUUCAUGACCGAGAGCAUUUACAAUAAGCAACAUAUGGUUAAACCAGGAGUUGGUUGAUGUAUUCA